rnacentral:tRNA from 1 species
GAAUAUGGCUCAGUGGUAGAGCAUUUGCCAAACAAGCACGAGGCCCUGGGUUCAAUCCCCAGCACCA